UACGAAGGGGGCUAGCGUUGUUCGGAUUUACUGGGCGUAAAGGGCGCGUAGGCGGCAAUUCAAGUCAGUUGUGAAAUCUCCGAGCUUAACUCGGAACGGUCAACUGAUACUGUUUUGCUAGAGUACAGAAGGGGCAAUCGGAAUUCUUGGUGUAGCGGUGAAAUGCGUAGAUAUCAAGAGGAACACCUGAGGUGAAGACGGGUUGCUGGGCUGAUACUGACGCUGAGGCGCGAAAGCUAGGGUAGCAAACGGG
rnacentral:rRNA from 1 species